CCCUAGGCUUCAUUUUGGAAAGUUUCUAUGGAGUUCUCAUUCUUACGCCCCCGUCGCAGCUCUUCACGCCUUUACCUCUGGCUACAGAAGUAGAAAUGGUGAACACAGCGCUGCAGCAAGACUACUUCGAGGACAAGGAGUUCCUGCUUCAUUUCAAGUCAUUAAUUAGCCAACUUCCUUUCUUUUCUGGGACCUCUCCGGGUCUGAUGGGGAUAAUCCAAGCUGAACUGCAUGUGACAGAGCGAGUAACCGAGAACCAGCCCGGGUGCCAGACCUGGAGAGGAGAGCCACUCGUCU